GAUGAACGCUGGCGGCGUGCCUAACACAUGCAAGUCGAACGAAGCACCUUACCUGAUUCUUCGGAUGAAAGUUUGGUGACUGAGUGGCGGACGGGUGAGUAACGCGUGGGUAACCUGCCCUGUACAGGGGGAUAACAGCUGGAAACGGCUGCUAAUACCGCAUAAGCGCACGAGGAGACAUCUCCUUGUGUGAAAAACUCCGGUGGUACAGGAUGGGCCCGCGUCUGAUUAGCUGGUUGGCAGGGUAACGGCCUACCAAGGCGACGAUCAGUAGCCGGUCUGAGAGGAUGACCGGCCACAUUGGAACUGAGACACGGUCCAAACUCCUACGGGAGGCAGCAGUGGGGAAUAUUGCACAAUGGGGGAAACCCUGAUGAAGCAACGCCGCGUGAGUGAAGAAGUAUUUCGGUAUGUAAAGCUCUAUCAGAAGGGAAGAUAAUGACGGUACCUGACUAAGAAGCUCCGGCUAACUACGUG
rnacentral:rRNA from 1 species